rnacentral:rRNA from 1 species
AUUGAACGCUGGCGGCAGGCUUAACACAUGCAAGUCGAGCGGGGUGAUGGUGCUUGCACCUUAUCUUAGCGGCGGACGGGUGAGUAAUGCUUAGGAAUCUGCCUAUUAGCGGGGGACAACAUUCCGAAAGGAAUGCUAAUACCGCAUACGCCCUACGGGGGAAAGCAGGGGAUCUUCGGACCUUGCGCUAAUAGAUGAGCCUAAGUCGGAUUAGCUAGUUGGUGGGGUAAAGGCCUACCAAGGCGACGAUCUGUAGCGGGUCUGAGAGGAUGAUCCGCCACACUGGGACUGAGACACGGCCCAGACUCCUACGGGAGGCAGCAGUGGGGAAUAUUGGACGAUGGGCGGAAGCCUGAUCCAGCCAUGCCGCGUGUGUGAAGAAGGCCUUUUGGUUGUAAAGCACUUUAAGCGAGGAGGAGGCUACCUGGAUUAAUACUCUAGGAUAGUGGACGUUACUCGCAGAGUAGCACCGGCUAACUCAGUGCCAGCAGCCGCCGUAAUAC